GAUGAAGAACGUAGUGAAAUGCGAUACGUAAUGUGAAUUGCAGAAUUCAGUGAAUCAUCGAGUCUUUGAACGCACAUUGCGCCCCCUGGUAUUCCGGGGGGCAUGCCUGUCCGAGCGUCAUUGCUGCCCUCAAGCACGGCUUGUGUGUUGGGCCUCCGUCCUCCUCCCGGGGGACGGGCCCGAAAGGCAUCGGCGGCACCGCGUCCGGUCCUCGAGCGUAUGGGGCUUCGUCACCCGCUCUUGUAGGCCCGGCCGGCGCUUGCCGACACAUCAAUCUUUUUUCCAGGUUGACCUCGGAUCAGGUAGGGAUACCCGCUGAACUUAAGCAUAUCAAUAAGCGGAGGA
rnacentral:misc_RNA from 1 species